rnacentral:rRNA from 1 species
UGGGGAAUAUUGGACAAUGGGCGCAAGCCUGAUCCAGCCAUGCCGCGUGAGUGAUGAAGGCCUUAGGGUUGUAAAGCUCUUUCACCGGAGAAGAUAAUGACGGUAUCCGGAGAAGAAGCCCCGGCUAACUUCGUGCCAGCAGCCGCGGUAAUACGAAGGGGGCUAGCGUUGUUCGGAAUUACUGGGCGUAAAGCGCACGUAGGCGGAUAUUUAAGUCAGGGGUGAAAUCCCAGAGCUCAACUCUGGAACUGCCUUUGAUACUGGGUAUCUUGAGUAUGGAAGAGGUAAGUGGAAUUCCGAGUGUAGAGGUGAAAUUCGUAGAUAUUCGGGGGAACACCAGUGGCGAAGGCGGCUUACUGGUCCAUUACUGACGCUGAGGUGCGAAAGCGUGGGGAGCAAACAGG